rnacentral:tRNA from 1 species
GUUUAUCUAAUAUAUUAGUAUAUUUGACUUCCAAUCAAAAAGUUUGUUUACUUAACAAGAUAAAUA